ACCCGCUGAACUUAAGCAUAUCAGUAAGCGGAGGAAAAGAAACUAACUAGGAUUCCCCGAGUAGCGGCGAGCGAAAGGGGAGAAGCCCAGCGCCGAAGCCCGCGCGUCUCUUGACCGCAGUGCAAUGUGGCGUAUCGGCGGCGACUCGCCGCGUCUGCUCUGGCACGAGUACCUCUGAAUGGGUCUGCCCGUAGCGGGUGUCAGGCCUCUACUUGCCGGAUGAGCGGGCGCGUCCUGUCGUCGUCGCGGAGUCGGGUUGCUUGAGAGUGCAGCCCAAAGUGGGUGGUAAGCUCCAUCUAAGGCUAAAUACCUAGUGCGAGACCGAUAGCAAACAAGUACCGUGAGGGAAAGUUGCAAAGAACUUUGAAAAGAGAGUUCAAGAGUACGUGAAACCGUUCAGAGGCAAACGGACGGAACUGGGCGAUUCUGUCGCGGGCAUUCAGCCGUCUAGGACCGCGCUCGCGCGGGCCGACGCGGUGCACUUGUUCGUGGCGGAGCGCGACGACCGCCUGUCGGGUCGUCUGAAGCCCGGCGGCAAGGUGGCGACGCGCUCGCGCGUCGUGUUAUAGGCCGCCGCGGCGUUGGCAGACUCGGCGGGCGAGGAGCGCCUGCGGUGCACUCCCCCCUUCGGGGCGGGAGUGGCCCGACGUGGUGGGCUGGCGGUCGCCGGCGACGAACUGCUCGCAGUUUGACGUCGCGCGCGCCGUCUGUCGUGCCGCGCGGUGCCACGGUGCACCCAGGGUCCGGGUCGCGUGGUUCCCGGCACUCCGUCCGACCCGUCUUGAAACACGGACCAAGGAGUUGAGCACGCGCGCGAGUCGAUGGGCUCGUUGAACCCCAGUGGCGCAGCUAAGGCAAAACGGGCGUGAUCCGGCACUGGCGUGUCGGCGCAACGCCGGCCCGCAGGCGACUCGGUGCAAGUGCCUGCGGUGCAAGAGCGUGCGUGCUCAGACCCGAAAGGUGGUGAACUAUGCUUGAGCAGGGCGAAGCCAGAGGAAACUCUGGUGGAGGCUCGCAGCGAUCCUGACGUGCAAAUCGGUCGUCAAACUUGAGCAUAGGGGCGAAAGACUAAUCGAACCGCCUAGUAGCUGGUUCCCUCCGAAGUUUCCCUCAGGAUAGCUGGCACUCGGGAUAAAUGGUUUUAUCCGGUAAAGCGAAUGAUUAGAGGCAUUGGGGACGAAACGUCCUCAACCUAUUCUCAAACUUUAAAUGGGUAAGAGGCGCGACCCUUCCUGAUCGGGGUCGCGUGCUCGAACAGAGAGUGCCCAGUGGGCCGUUUUUGGUAAGCAGAACUGGCGCUGUGGGAUGAACCAAACGUGCGGUUAGGGUGCCUAACGCACGCUCAUGAGAUACCACAAAAGGUGUUGGUUGAUAUAGACAGCAGGACGGUGGCCAUGGAAGUCGGAAUCCGCUAAGGAGUGUGUAACAACUCACCUGCCGAAUCAACUAGCCCUGAAAAUGGAUGGCGCUGGAGCGUGCGACCCAUACCGCACCGUCGGGGCAAUGCGUGCGAAAUGCCAGGCCCCGACGAGUAGGAGGGCGUGUCGGUGGCGUUGAAGCGUAGUGCGUGAGCACGCGUGGAGCCGCCUUCAGUGCAGAUCUUGGUGGUAGUAGCAAGUAUACAAAUGAGAACUUUGUAGACCGAAGUGGAGAAGGGUUCCAUGUGAACAGCAGUUGGACAUGGGUCAGUCGGCCCUAAGAGAUCGGAAAAUUCCGUUCUGAACGGGGAGUGGCAGUGUGGCGCAGAGUGCGCGUGCAUGCCUGGUGGCAGGGCGACGUGGUCGCGUGCCGCGGGGGUCUGUUUAAAGCCAGGGUCGUCGUGCGCUCUCGUCGACCCGCGUGCACCAUGCGGAGCACGGGCCGGCCGGCCGUAGCCGUCUGAUCGACUCGGGCGCGCGCGCAAGCGCGUGUCUGACGAGAGAGCGGCUGCGAUGUCGUGAGUCGGGCCGAGUGUGCGCGCGGGAGGCGUUGGUCGCGGCGGCUUCUGAGCCAGACCCAUCCGUUGGUAGGCGGUCGCUCCACCGGGCUGCGCGCGCGCGAAAGCGCCCGCUGUUUGCAGACCCCGAUGCGAUCGAAAGGGAAUCGGGUUAAUAUUCCCGAACCUGGCAGUGGAGAUUGGGCCCUCGGGCCCCAGUGCGGUAACGCAACCGAACUCGGAGACGCCAGCGUCGAUCCCGGGAAGAGUUCUCUUUUCUUUGUUAGGAGCGGACUCCCUGGAAUUGGCUUGUCCAGAGAUAGGGACGUUGCAUCCGUAAAGCGUCGCGCCUCACGCGGCGUCCGGUGCAUCGGCGUUGGCCCUUGAAAAUCCGAGGGAGGCAGUGUAAUUUUCACUCCAGGCCGUACCCGAAUCCGCAGCAGGUCUCCAAGGUGAACAGCCUCUGGUCGAUAGAACAAUGUAGGUAAGGGAAGUCGGCAAAUCCGAUCCGUAACUUCGGGAUAAGGAUUGGCUCUGAGGUGCGGGCUGCUUCGGGUCGCGGCAAGAAGCGGAUCGUGCGUUGGU
rnacentral:rRNA from 1 species